ACUAACAGUAAAAAGGUAAUACCCAUGGGAAAACCUUUACCCCUUGGCGGCCUUUCCCCUUCUCAAAGGAACUUGUCAAAUAACCGAAAUCACCCGAUCGAUCUUACUUUUCUUCAGUUUUUAUACCGUCGUCUUAAGAAUUCAUUCAAAAAUCUUAUUCCUAACUGGAAAACCCACCCAAGUCAGAUCAAGGUGAAGCGCAUAGACUAGAAUUGAUGAGUUAUCCAUAAAAAAUAUUUAAGGACUUUGCCAUAACAAACAAACAAAUAAAGAUUUGAAAGUACCCCAGGAUUAUAAUUCCCAAGGAAAAUAGCAAAAAAGGUGC
rnacentral:rRNA from 1 species